UACGGAGGAUCCAAGCGUUAUCCGGAUUUAUUGGGUUUAAAGGGUGCGUAGGCGGCUUAAUAAGUCAGUGGUGAAAGCCGAUCGCUUAACGAUCGAACUGCCAUUGAUACUGCUAGGCUUGAGUAUAGAUGAGGUAGGCGGAAUUGACAGUGUAGCGGUGAAAUGCAUAGAUAUUGUCAAGAACACCAAUUGCGAAGGCAGCUUACUAAGUUAUAACUGACGCUGAGGCACGAAAGUGCGGGGAUCAAACAGG
rnacentral:rRNA from 1 species